AGUCCCGGUGGUGCAGUGGUUAGCACCCAGCCCUUUGAAGGAUGAUACGCGCGUUCGAUUUCCGCGCAAGAUUCUGGAUUU